rnacentral:rRNA from 1 species
AACGAACGCUGGCGGCAUGCCUAACACAUGCAAGUCGAACGAGACCUUCGGGUCUAGUGGCGCACGGGUGCGUAACGUGUGGGAACCUGCCCUUAGGUUCGGAAUAACUCCCCGAAAGGGGUGCUAAUACCGGAUAAUGUCUUCGGACCAAAGAUUUAUCGCCCUUGGGUGGGCCCGCGUUCGUUUGCUAGUUGGUAGGGUCAGAGCCUACCAAGGCGACGAUCCAUAGCUGGUCUGAGAGAAUGGGCAGCCACACUGAGACUACGACACGGCCCAGACUCGUACGGAAGGAGGGAAUGGGGAAUAUAGGAAAAUGGGGGAAAGCAUGAACCAGCAAUGCCGCGUGAGUGAUGAAGGCAUUAAGGUUGUAAAGCUCUUUUACCCGGGAAGAUAAUGACAGUACCGGAAGAAUAAGCUCCGGCUAACUCCGUG